GUUAGUUACUGACCACAUACUUUUGUGGUCUGGUUAACUGUGAACUAUUUAUUGUCCUCAAUUAAAACCCAUCUCCCCCAAUAAAUAAUCCACAUGUCCCACAACCCCCUUGACCACGUUGGACACGGCGUCCACCGCUUUUCGGAUGAAUCCUCUCUUUAAUUCGCCAGCUUCGGGACGAUACGCCGUACAUUUGAACCACAUGACUCGGGACGAUUGCGGGUAUGGAGGAUCCGUUUCGGCCACCUGCAGGAAUUCACGGUUACAUAAAUAAAUUAUUAUUAACACGCCGACUUUAGUAAAUAAAAUCCAGUUUUAGUCUGAAAA